UGUUCCCAAGCCAGGACACUGAGGCUCGCAGGGGAGAAGAAACUGGCCCCAAGUCACCAAGCUGGAAGCAGCAGAGCCAGACUCCGAAUGAAGCCAGUUGGAAGGAGCGCUUCAAGAGCCCGGCUUCUCAGGCCUCACAUCCUGCCGCAGACCCACCGCAGGUGGCACUAUGAAAAGGAUGCGGCAUUAACAGUGGGCGCUGCGGCAGGUUGCAAAAUCCAGCGGUUCCGUCACAGGUACAGACUGCAUGGCUACCACACCGGCUGCGGAGGCUUUGCACUUGAGAAGUGAGGGCACCUUCCUGCCUGAAGUGUUUGAUUGUUUAUGAUCCUGGGAAAGUCAGGUUUCCUUGCCACAGAGCUGAAAUUUGCCACAGAGCUGAAAGCACAUGAUCACUUUGGGGUAUUAAGACUGCAGGGUGGGCCGUUCGCACCAUGGCUCACGCCUGUAAUCCCAGCGCUUUGGGAGGUGGACGUGGAA
rnacentral:lncRNA from 10 species